GGGGAUGACAGGCUUCGACGGAGAAGGCUGGUCACGGACUGCAAGUCGGGGCGCUCUGACCCCGUGAACAAUGGAGCACAACUUCCAAAGUGCCAAUAACACUUGGAUUCCAGUUCCCCAGACCGCCGUCGCUGCGGCACCGCUCGCGGCGUAGCCCGGUCUAGGGACUGACUGACCGCAUAAGCGGUCACGUCCGCCUCGGUCUCUCACUGGCGGGUCGAGGGUCGGGCGUCAUAAAGUCGGUGUGCUGCGUCCCGACGCCGAUAGGGACGCUCAAGAGGGAGUUUAGGCUCCCAUCGGCUCAGUCUGGGUGAGCGCGGUUGACGGUGACUCCCCAGGCAAAACAGAAACAGUCAACUAAACUUGUAGAUGUCCUUGGCUGAUUUCUUCGGACGCGGGUUCGAUUCCCGCCAUCUCCACAA
rnacentral:tmRNA from 1 species